CAGUAGCCGCGGUAACACGGAGGGUGCAAGCGUUAAUCGGAAUUACUGGGCGUAAAGCGCACGCAGGCGGUCUGUCAAGUCAGAUGUGAAAUCCCCGGGCUUAACCUGGGAACUGCAUUUGAAACUGGCAGGCUAGAGUCUUGUAGAGGUGGGUAGAAUUCCAGGUGUAGCGGUGAAAUGCGUAGAGAUCUGGAGGAAUACCGGUGGCGAAGGCGGCCCCCUGGACAAAGACUGACGCUCAGGCGCGAAAGCGUGGGGAGCAAACAGGAUUAGAUACCCGAGUAGUCCCUGUCUCUUAUAC
rnacentral:rRNA from 1 species